AGAAUCAACGCUGGCGGCGUGCCUAACACAUGCAAGUCGAACGAGAAAGUGGAGCAAUCCAUGAGUAAAGUGGCGCACGGGUGAGUAACACGUGACUAACCUACCCUUGAGUGGGGGAUAACCUAGAGAAAUCUGGGCUAAUACCGCAUAAUACCUUCGGGUCAAAGGAGCAAUUCGCUUCAGGAGGGGGUCGCGGCCGAUUAGUUAGUUGGCGGGGUAAUGGCCCACCAAGACAGUGAUCGGUA
rnacentral:rRNA from 1 species